CCAAGCAGCUUUAGGAACUUCUCUUCUCUCAAGGAUAUAGCCCAAGAUAUCAGCACCACCAUCAUCGGCAGGAGGCCUCCAACUGACUCUUACAGAACGGGCUUAACCAAGUCAUAAGUUCCAGAAUCAUCUCUGUCUGCUUCUUUGAUCACAAGCUCAGUGUGGGUUUCAGAUGUUGCAAUCAUGGCACGUUUACUAAUAUCCUGGCCGUCCUUGGUCCAUUUACAUACUGGGAAUGGUUUUCCUUUGAUUGGUAUGAACUCACAGAAUUAUAUACUUCAGAAGGAUGAGAUUUUCCACUUAAAACUAUAUCUCAAUAAACUUGGCUUAUACUAAAUAUAUUUACCAAUUGGAUCCAUGGCCACG